GAUGAACGCUAGCGGGAGGCUUAAUACAUGCAAGUCGAGCGGCAAGUUUUGAUAGCAAUAUUGGAACCUAGAGCGGCGCACGGGUGAGUAACGCGUACAUGACCCUGCCCUAUACUGGGGGAUAGUCUUGGGAAACUGAGAAUAAUCCCGCAUGUGACUAGAAUGCUGCAUGGCAAAUUAAUUAAAGCUGAGGCGGUAUAGGAUGGGUGUGCGUCUGAUUAGCUAGUUGGUAGUGUAACGGACUACCAAGGCGAUGAUCAGUAGGGGGCGUGAGAGCGUGACCCCCCCACACGGGUACUGAGACACGGGACCCGACUCCUACGGGAGGCAGCAGUGGGGAAUAUUGGACAAUGGGGGCAACCCUGAUCCAGCCAUGCCGCGUGUGUGAAGAAGGCCUU
rnacentral:rRNA from 1 species